rnacentral:rRNA from 1 species
UCGCCUACGGGGGGCAGCAGUGGGGGAUAUUGCACAAUGGGGGAAACCCUGAUGCAGCGACGCCGCGUGGGCGAAGAAGUAUUUCGGUAUGUAAAGCCCUAUCAGCAGGGAAGAAGAAAUGACGGUACCUGAGUAAGAAGCACCGGCUAAAUACGUGCCAGCAGCCGCGGUAAUACGUAUGGUGCAAGCGUUAUCCGGAUUUACUGGGUGUAAAGGGAGCGCAGGCGGCGCGUUAAGCCUGGUGUGAAAGCCCGCGGCCCAACCGCGGGACUGCAUUGGGAACUGGC